rnacentral:misc_RNA from 1 species
GAUGAAGAACGUAGUGAAAUGCGAUACGUAAUGUGAAUUGCAGAAUUCAGUGAAUCAUCGAAUCUUUGAACGCACAUUGCGCCUGCCAGCACUCUGGCAGGCAUGCCUGUUCGAGCAUCAUUUCAACCAUCAAGCCCUAGGCUUGCGUUGGAGCCCUGCGGCUGCCGCAGGCCCCUAAAAGCAGUGGCGGGCUCGCUAUCACACCGAGUGCAGUAGAUUACUCUUCGCUCAGGGCGUGUGGCGGGUUCCAGCCGUGAAACCCCCUACUUCUCAAGGUUGACCUCGGAUCAGGUAGGAAUACCCGCUGAACUUAAGCAUAUCAAUAAGCGGAGGA